rnacentral:tRNA from 1 species
CUCUCUGCGUGGACGGCACCAGGCCUUCUAAGCCGACGUGCGGGGGUUCGACUCCCUCCAGGGAGA